rnacentral:lncRNA from 1 species
AAAACCCAAGGAUACGUGUAGCAAUUCAUAACACAAACUCACUUCACACACUCAUAAAAAACCAUAAAACAAAACCCAAGGAUACGUGUAGCAAUACAUAACACAAACUCACUUCACACACUCAUUAAAAACCCAAGGAUACGUGUAGCAACAUAACACAAACUCACCUCAAAAACCCAAGGAUACGUGUAGCAAUACAUAACACAAACUCACUUCACACACUCAUAAAAACCCAAGGAUACGUGUAGCAAUUCAUAACACAAACUCACUUCACACACUCAUAAAAAACCAUAAAACAAAACCCAAGGAUACGUGUAGCAAUUCAUAACACAAACUCACUUCACACACUCAUGAAAAACCCAAGGAUACGUGUAGCAAUACAUAACACAAACUCACUUCACACACUCAUAAAAAACCCA